GACGAACGCUGGCGGCGUGCUUAACACAUGCAAGUCGAACGGAAAGGCCCUGCUUUUGUGGGGUGCUCGAGUGGCGAACGGGUGAGUAACACGCGAGUAACCUGCCCUUGACUUUGGGAUAACUUCAGGAAACUGGGGCUAAUACCGGAUAGGAGCUCCUGCUGCAUGGUGGGGGUUGGAAAGUUUCGGCGGUUGGGGAUGGACUCGCGGCUUAUCAGCUUGUUGGUGGGGUAGUGGCUUACCAAGGCUAUGACGGGUAGCCGGCCUGAGAGGGUGACCGGCCACAUUGGGACUGGGAUACGGCCCAGACUCCUACGGGAGGCAGCAGUGGGGAAUAUUGGACAAUGGGCGGAAGCAUGAUGCAGCAACGCCGCGUGCGGGAUGACGGCCUUCGGGUUGUAAACCGCUUUCGCCUGUGACGAAGCGUGAGUGACGGUAAUGGGUAAAGAAGCACCGGCUAACUACGU
rnacentral:rRNA from 1 species